GGCAUAGCUCAGUGGUGGAGCAUUUGCCUUGCAUUCAGAAGGUCCCGCAUUCGAUUCCUGGCAUCUCCA